UACAGAGGUGCCAAGCGUUAGGCGGAAUCACUGGGCUUAAAGCGCGUGUAGGCGGGACGGCACGUCUGUCGCUGAAAUCCCCCGGCUUAACCGGGGAACUGGCGGAGAUACGACCGUCCUGGAGGGGCGUAGGGGGACCUGGAACUUCCGGUGGAGCGGUGAAAUGCGUUGAGAUCGGAAGGAACGCCCGUGGCGAAAGCGAGGUCCUGGACGCCUACUGACGCUGAGAUGCGAAAGCCAGGGGAGCGAACGGG
rnacentral:rRNA from 1 species